GCUUAAACGAAUCUUUUGGGAAGUAUGCCCUUACUUUCUUUGCAUCUUUGUUGGCUUUGACCGUUACUUUUUGCGGUGUUACCACGUUAAUUUCCUUUACUGGUCGCUGCAUUGGUGUUGGAAUAUAUCUUGUGUGUCUAGGCUUAACAGCCUUAAUACUAGAGGCUCCCUUUUUACAUAAAGUAAUAUUACUCAAAACGAUACGAGAAACUACGGAUAAAAUGCCCGCCUUACUCAGAG